GGGGGCAUGGCGGAAUCGGUAGACGCAGCGCACUUAAAAUGCGCAGACGGGAUCGUUGUGGGGGUUCAAGUCCCCCUGCCCCCA
rnacentral:tRNA from 1 species